rnacentral:misc_RNA from 1 species
AAGUCGUAACAAGGUCUCCGUAGGUGAACCUGCGGAGGGAUCAUUAACACGUUUAUACAAACGUUUCCCAACCAAUCGCGUGAGCCCUACCUAACACCACUCGCAACCCGUGGAAGGCCGAACAAUGGUGCUACUGACUCCAAACUGCUGCGGCUGUUUAGAGGCAAUGGUGCUGCUGCUUGGCUGGUUGCUUGAUUUUUUUUGUUUUUUUAAACCCUUUUCCAAUUUUACCAUACGGUUUAUAGCUUCCGUGUGCGCGCGCUGCUUUCUGCUCCGCUCUGCACUCGUUUAUAAAUCAAUGUAAAGCACAACUCUUAGCAACGGAUAUCUUGGUUCUC